GGUAGUAUGCCAGAGUGGUUAAUGGGUAAGACUUGAAAUCUUAUGGCUUCGGCCGCAUAGGUUCGAACCCUAUUGCUACCG
rnacentral:tRNA from 1 species